UACGAAGGGGACUAGCGUUGUUCGGAAUCACUGGGCGUAAAGGGCGCGUAGGCGGCUGGCUCAGUCGGGCCUGUAAGUGCGGGGCUCAACCCCGUGAUGGGUCCGGGACGGGCUGGCUGGGGCGCGGUCGAGGGAGACGGAAUGCCGGGUGUAGUGGUGAAAUGCGUAGAGAUCCGGCGGAACACCGGUGGUGAAGACGGUCUCCUGGGCCGAGGGCCGACGCUGAGGCGCGAGAGCGUGGGGAGCGAACCGG
rnacentral:rRNA from 1 species